UANAGUUUGAUCCUGGCUCAGGAUNAACGCUGNCGGCGUGCCUAAUACAUGCAAGUCGAGCGAACAGAUAAGGAGCUUGCUCCUUUGACGUUANCGGCGGACGGGUGAGUAACACGUGGGUAACCUACCUAUAAGACUGGGAUAACUUCGGGAAACCGGAGCUAAUACCGGAUAACAUUUGGAACCGCAUGGUUCUAAAGUGAAAGAUGGUUUUGCUAUCACUUAUAGAUGGACCCGCGCCGUAUUAGCUAGUUGGUAAGGUAACGGCUUACCAAGGCGACGAUACGUAGCCGACCUGAGAGGGUGAUCGGCCACACUGGAACUGAGACACGGUCCAGACUCCUACGGGAGGCAGCAGUAGGGAAUCUUCCGCAAUGGGCGAAAGCCUGACGGAGCAACGCCGCGUGAGUGAUGAAGGGUUUCGGCUCGUAAAUACUCCUGUUAUUAGGGAAGAACAAAUGUGUAAGUAACUGUGCACGUGCUUGUACGGUACCUA
rnacentral:rRNA from 1 species